CCUUGAUAGGGAUCUUUGGUUUGGGCACAGACAUCACAGGGUAACCAUAACCCACCACAUCUGCUCAGAGCACGGAGUGCAAAUGUUUCAGUUACCGGGCAGAGCAGGGAGAACCCUCACAUGCCUUCAUCCUAGACUGACUGACUGACUGACUGACUGACUGACUGACUGACUGACUGAUGGAUGCCAUUCUGGAGGGAGCAGCCUGAAGCAUGCACAGGGCAGUUUGGAAGUGUCGAGACAGGCUUCCGCCCUUCCAUCUUCUUGAAACCAAGAGCCACGCCUUUGAUUAAGCUGCAGAGACCCGCCGGAGAGACAGUUAAUGACACAAGCAAACACACGGAGACCACAGAGACCACGUUGGAAGACCUGAAAUGUGGUGAUGAAGAGGAGAUGAAGGAGAUGACGGUGAAAGAGAGGAUGACCCAGUUUCUCUACCAAAUACUAAUUUGGCAGUGAUAUAGAGAAGAGACGGUUCAGGAACACACCCACCACACGGGCAGCCUGCCUUCUCAGGAUGGCCAGAGCAAAGUGAACCACAAUCCCUGCAGACCCAGGAAUUUCUGCAAACUACUUAGACGCCAAAGGUUGACUUGAUGGGUCAUGCAAGACUGUGCGCAAUAACACACUGGUGGGACUCCUUAAGCACUCUGACAAAAGCCCAAAUCAAAGUGGCCUUAAGAGACAGCCACGGUGGCCUGGUGCACGGGUGACCGGCUGUUCCUAGCUCUGUGGUGUCAUAAGGACUGUGGUAAGUACCAGCUGCACUUCUCUACCUUUAAUUGUGAAUAUUAGACACCCCGUGGACAGAUGAGCAACCGUGAAAUCAACCAGAAUAGCAAAAGAACGCCUUAUCAAAUGUGCAAUUUGAGAAGAAACUAUCCACCUCUUGUAUACAUGCUUAACUCCCUUUCCUGAGCCAUAGAACAUCAUUUUUAACCAUGUGCUCGGAGCUCAGGAUGGAGCUGUGACGUGACAUAGAUCUGGAAGUAUAGUCCUAAGGGAUGUAUCCUACCCUCACCCCAUCCAUCCGCUCCACCCUAGCCUCCACCAAGCCUCUGCCAGGAGUGUCUCCAAUGAGAACAAGUGUUCUCCUCUUCCUACCCUCCUCCUUUGGUGGUCAACUUUGAACAAGGACCUUGGACCUUGAAGUGAAAGCCACAAUCACACUCAAGAGAACAGCUUGUGCCACAUCUGUUUUUGCAUACUGUGUUUUCUUUAUUCUGGAAAGAGAGUCGUGCAACACACAUUGUUUCGCAGUUUAGUUUUGUUUUAUUUUAUUUUAUUUUAUUUUAUUUUAUUUUAUUUUAUUUUAUUUUAACCAGUUGUCACAGUGCAGAUAUCUUCUGGAAAACUGAAUAGCCACAUCUUUUGAGCUGCAUGAUAUCCCAUGGUGAGAAGGUGAAGUCGUUUACCUGGCCUACCUUGAUGUCAAUUCACGUUUUAGUUUUAUGAAGCAUUACACUUGUAAAAACAGUGUGACAUUUGAACAGAAUUGAGCAUGAAGAGUAUUCCUGUAGAAACCUCAAGGAAGCUGCUUUUAUUUAUAUGAUUUUGGUUUCCUUAACUGACACAUUUAUCUGAAGCAAUUUAAUUUGAGUAUCAAAGGACAAAUUGAUCCCAGCUAACACCAACAGCCACGUAAGGCUUUUGCAGUAGAGCCGUCCUCUCAUCGGAAACCUCUUGCAUGAGAUGCUGGAGGAAACACGAGACAGAGUUAAGAGCAUCCUUAGAGAACCCUGCCCUAGCUUUGCAAUGAGGACUCAAUGCCAGAAAGUGCAAGCACUUGCUCGGCACAUCAGGCUGGGGAGAGAGUCCUGUCAGCCAACAGCCUACCAUGCAAGCACAAAGACCCGAACUGGAUACCCAGAACCUAUGUACAAAAGCCAAACAGUGUCUGGCACGGUGUUCCACACCUAUAACUCCAGUGCUCUGAAGGCACAGGCAGAUGGAGGGAUCUCUGUGAGCGUGAUCUCUCCUGAUCUAUACAGUGAGUUUCAAUACAGCCAGGGUGACAUAAUCAGAUCCUGUCUCAAAAAUUAAACAACAACAAAGGCCAGGCAUUGCAGUAUUUGCUUGCAAUCUCAGUGCUGGGGAGGCGGAGACUGGGGGAUUCACUGACCAGACAGUCUAACCAACUUGGCAAACUCCAAGCCAGUGAGAAACCCUGGCUCAAAACAAAACAAACGGAAACCAAGGCGGACAUGCUCACACACACACACGCACACACACACACACACAGAGAGAGAGAGAGAGAGAGAGAGAGAGAGAGAGAGAAACAGAGACAGAGACAGAGACAGACAGACAGAGAGGAGAGCAUAUUCCCACAAUGCCACAACGAGCCUUGAACAAGAAGUCUUAGAAACCAAAGCAACCUGCUUAUCCUUUGAGUAGCCUGAUGUGGAGAAAGAGAAACACUCCUCCACUGCUGGUGGGGUUGCAAAUUGGUACAACCACUCUGGAAAUCAGUCUGGCGGUUCCUCAGAAAACUGGGCACCUCACUUCCGAAAGAUCCUGCUAUACCACUCCUGGGCAUAUACCCAGAUGAUUCCCCAGCAUGUAAUAAGGAUGCAUGUUCCACUAUGUUCAUAGAAGCCCUAUUUAUAAUAGCCAGAAGCUGGAAAGAACCCAGGUGUCCCUCAACAGAAGAAUGGAUGCAAAAAUGUGGUAUAUAUACACAAUGGAGUACUAUUCAGCCAUUAGAAACAAUGAAUUCAUGAAAUUCUUAGGCAAAUGGAUGGAGCUGGAGAACAUCAUACUAAGUGAGGUAACCCAGUCUCAAAAGAUCAAUCAUGGUAUGCACUCACUAAUAAGUGGAUAUUAGCCUGGAAAACUGGAAUACCCAAAACAUAAUCCACACAUCAAAUGAGGUACAAGAAGAACGGAGGAGUGGUCCCUUGUUCUGGAAAGACUCAGUGAAGCUGUAUAAGGCAAAACCAGAACAGGGA